rnacentral:tRNA from 4 species
GGGCGAUUAGCUCAGAGGAUAGAGCACAAGCCUCCGGAGCUUGGUGUCGCGGGUUCGACUCCCGCAUCGCCCUCCA